CCUACGGGGGGCAGCAGUGGGGGAUAUUGCACAAUGGGGGGAACCCUGAUGCAGCGACGCCGCGUGGGUGAAGGAGUGCUUCGGCAUGUAAAGCCCUAUCGGCAGGGAAGAAGCAAGACGGUACCUGACUAAGAAGCCCCGGUUAACUACGUGCCAGCAGCCGCGGUAAUACGUAGGGGGCGAGCGUUAUCCGGAUUCACUGGGUGUAAAGGGAGCGUAGACGGCCAUGCAAGCCAGGGGGGAAAGCCCGGGGCCCAACCCCGGGACUGCCCUUGGAACUGUGCGGCUAGAGUGCGGGAGGGGCAGGCGGAAUUCCUGGUGUAGCGGUGAAAUGCGUAGAUAUCAGGAGGAACACCGGCGGCGAAGGCGGCCUGCUGGACUGCGACUGACGUUGAGGCUCGAAAGCGUGGGGAGCGAACAGGAUUAGAUACCCUUGUAGUC
rnacentral:rRNA from 1 species